UUGCUUUAGUUACGUCCAGUGUGUUGUUUGCGGGUGUGAUGGACGUGGAAGUCAAGGUAGAGCCCUGUAGCCCGCCAACCACACCACCUCCUAUAUACGUUGACACCAGUGAAAAAGAAGUGCCAGCUGAGGGAAUACUUGGAAGUUACAGCUCUGAAACUUCGGAAGACAGCAUGGAUAGCAGCCAAGGAAUCUUGGAAGGUACCGCGGAGCCUUCACCGAAGAAGCCUAAACAGAGUGUGAACAACUUUAACAAGUGUGACCUGUGUGGGCGGUGCUUUUCUAGAGCAGACCAUUUGAAAAGGCAUCAGAUCGUGCA
rnacentral:lncRNA from 1 species